GAUGGACCCGCGGUGCAUUAGCUAGUUGGUGAGGUAACGGCUCACCAAGGCAACGAUGCAUAGCCGACCUGAGAGGGUGAUCGGCCACAUUGGGACUGAGACACGGCCCAAACUCCUACGGGAGGCAGCAGUAGGGAAUCUUCGGCAAUGGACGAAAGUCUGACCGAGCAACGCCGCGUGAGUGAAGAAGGUUUUCGGAUCGUAAAACUCUGUUGUUAGAGAAGAACAAGGAUGAGAGUAAAAUGUUCAUCCCUUGACGGUAUCUAACCAGAAAGCCACGGCUAACUACGUGCCAGCAGCCGCGGUAAUACGUAGGUGGCAAGCGUUGUCCGGAUUUAUUGGGCGUAAAGCGAGCGCAGGCGGUUUCUUAAGUCUGAUGUGAAAGCCCCCGGCUCAACCGGGGAGGGUCAUUGGAAACUGGGAAACUUGAGUGCAGAAGAGGAGAGUGGAAUUCCAUGUGUAGCGGUGAAAUGCGUAGAUAUAUGGAGGAACACCAGUGGCGAAGGCGGCUCUCUGGUCUGUAACUGACGCUGAGGCUCGAAAGCGUGGGGAGCAAACA
rnacentral:rRNA from 1 species